rnacentral:rRNA from 1 species
UACGGGGGGAGCAAGCGUUGUUCGGAUUUACUGGGCGUAAAGGGCGCGUAGGCGGCGUAACAAGUCACUUGUGAAAUCUCCGGGCUUAACCCGGAGCGGCCAAGUGAUACUGUUGUGCUAGAGUGCGGAAGGGCUACUGGAAUUCUCGGUGGUAGCGGUGAAAUGCGUAGAUAUCGCUUGGAACGCCGAAGGUGAAAACAGGUUGCUGGGUUGUGCCGACGCUGAGACACGAAGCCAGGGAGCAAACGGGA